rnacentral:lncRNA from 1 species
AAUAUGUCAGCAUGGAUUGUACAGCUAACUGAUGAUAGGAAAUCUUAGUGACUCAAGGAAGCAGACAUCUAAGUAAAAGUGCCAGAACGACUGAGCUAAAUCCUUGGCCAGCAAAUUUCAAAUUUUGAUCUCUUCCCAUGCAACUGAUAUCCAUAUGUGGUCCAAGCUUCUCCAGAGAUGCUGGGCAGCAGCAGUGAGCUGAGCUCCUAGUCAGCCACACAACCCUGAGGGUGGACAACUGAUACUCUACCAGGGGGAAGAGAUGCAACUCCCAAACCUGCUAGAUAUCUGAAGCGCAAGUUCGUGUUCUCUAAAAUUGAAGAAUGAAUUCCAGGAACAACGGAGGUUAAGAGUAGGAAAAAAUUAUUGAGAGAAAGAUAGCUUUUGUCUAAGAGAGACAGAAGGGGGACCAGAAAGUGGGUUGCUGGUUUACUCAACUUCUCAAAAGUCUUUUAUGGGACAAAGUCAUGAGGUGAAUUGGGUUCAAGGUGGGACAAAACUAUAGUCAAC